rnacentral:rRNA from 1 species
UGAGCCAACAGCUAGCUUAACAACCCCAACAACUAAACAAUAUAAAUAAAACAACAUAACCUCAAAAAACAGACUAAACCAUUUUUCCACCUUAGUACGGGCGACGGAACAGGAUAUUUUUAAGCGAUAGAAAAAGUACCGCAAGGGAAAGCUGAAAAAGAAGUGAAACAACCCAUAUAAGCACCAAAAAGCAGAGACUAAGCCUCGUACCUUUUGCAUCAUGAUUUAGCCAGUAUACCCAAGCAAAGAGAUCUUUAGUUUGAAACCCCGAAACCAAGUGAGCUACCCCGGGACAGCCUAUAUGGGCCAACCCGUCUCUGUGGCAAAAGAGUGGGAAGAGCCCCGGGUAGAGGUGACAGACCUACCGAACUUGGUGAUAGCUGGUUGCCUAAGAAACGAAUAGAAGUUCAGCCUCGCGCCCCUUAAGUUAAACAAGUAACAUUCUAACUAAACACAAAAAGAGAAGCACGAGAGUUAAUCAAAGGGGGUACAGCCCCUCUGAUAAAGAAUACAAUCUUACCAGGAGGAUAAGGAUCAUACUCAAUAAAACACGUCGUUUCAGUGGGCCUAAAAGCAGCCACCUGAUCAGAAAGCGUUAAAGCUCAAACGACAUAAAGUUUAUUAUUCCGACAAAUAAUCCUACUCCCCUAAACCUACUAGGCCAUUCCAUGCCCCCAUGGAAGAAACUAUGCUAAAAUGAGUAACAAGGGGGCCACAGCCCCCUCCCGGCACAAGUGUAAGCCAGAUCGGACCCACCACUGGCAAUUAACGAACCCAAAAAAAGAGGGCAGCAUGAAGAACAAAAUAAACCAAGAAAAUCCCAUAUGCCCAAAUCGUUUACCCCACACCGGAGUGCCCCCAGGAAAGACUAAAAGAAGAGGAAGGAACUCGGCAAACACAAGCCUCGCCUGUUUACCAAAAACAUCGCCUCCUGCAAACCCCGAAGUAUAGGAGGUCCAGCCUGCCCAGUGACCGCAAGUUCAACGGCCGCGGUAUUUUGACCGUGCAAAGGUAGCGCAAUCACUUGUCUUUUAAAUGAAGACCUGUAUGAAUGGCUAAACGAGGGCUUAACUGUCUCCCCCUUCAAGUCAGUGAAAUUGAUCUGCCCGUGCAGAAGCGGACAUAAAUCUACAAGACGAGAAGACCCUUUGGAGCUUAAGGUACAAACCCAAUCACGUCAAGCAACUAAAAACAGCAUAAACUUAAUGAGCCCUGGAGUUUUACCUUCGGUUGGGGCGACCACGGAGAAAAAAAAAUCCUCCGAGUGGACUGAGCCAACAAGCUUAAAACCAAGAAAGACAUUUCCAAGUCACAGAAAAUCUGACCAAUCAUGAUCCGGCCUAUAAGGCCGAUCAACGGACCAAGUUACCCUAGGGAUAACAGCGCAAUCCUCUCCCAGAGUCCAUAUCGACGAGGGGGUUUACGACCUCGAUGUUGGAUCAGGACAUCCUAAUGGUGCAGCAGCUAUUAAGGGUUCGUUUGUUCAACGAUUAAAGUCCUACGUGAUCUGAGUUCAGACCGGAGCAAUCCAGGUCAGUUUCUAUCUGUAACGUUACUUUUCCUAGUACGAAAGGACCGGAAAAGAGGGGCCAACACUAAAAGUGCGCCCCACCCCUAAUUGAUGAAGACAACUAAAUCAAACAAAGGGAGAACCCCCCCCCCCACCGCCAAAAUAAGGCCA